rnacentral:miRNA from 1 species
UUGCACUUGAGACGGCC